UGAUCGAGGCCUGCAAUCGCAGGACAUCCGUAGCUUCUGACGCGACCGAGUAGCGAGAACCUAGCCGUCAAGGAAGUGGAUCGAUCAUGAGGAUCAAUCAUCAGGAGUGAGACGAAACUUUGCUCGAGCGAACCACGCAGCGUACGUCUGCGUGAUCGCCCGGCGCUCGCAAUCCUCCCUCGGAAAAUGAUACCGAACUUCCUUCAAAAAACCGCGAAAUCGACGAUGAAAGAAAAACACGAAAGCAACCAAUGGCAAUCCAAAUAAUUUCGGAAAUAUCUACGACGACGAACCGCGCUGGUAGGAAAGAAUCGCGAGAGCUGCACGGGCCGCCAUCACGAUUCGAAAACGAUGAAAAAUCAUGGCAACUGCAUGGGUCAUCGUGAAAAUGAA
rnacentral:misc_RNA from 1 species